UCUCUCACACACACAAGGAGGUGGAGUGACUCGCUCGGGGUCUCUCACACACAAGGAGGUGGAGUGACUCGCUCGGGGUCUCUCACACACACACACAAGGAGGUGGAGUGACUCGCUCGGGGUCUCUCUCACACACACAGCGAGUCAGGGGCCUGUGCCUGUGCGUUUUCUUUAACCUCAGGAUCACCGAGACUACCUUAAAAAAAAAAAAGAAAAGCGCUUUAAGCAAAACAAAACAUGAUGUAAGAGUUGGGAGCAGCAGGCUUGUGGACGGGAUCAUAAGACUGACAACAAGCGCUGACUCAAUUAGAGUCAAGGCGCAACUUGUGGAAAACCAGCAUUGCCGUUCAGUUCCAGGGCAUGGGUCAAAAGCCACAUGCCGAGAUUAGGAAGACGCUGGACGCGGUUUUGGAGAUAUUUCUAAGAGCUGCACGCUUUAGAAGUGUUCUUUUCCUUCAUCCUCCUUUGGGUGUGUUUGCAGAGACACGGAGAGAGGACGGUGAUACCCUGGUAUUGUGAUAGAAUAUCUAUUUAAACAUGCAGAAACUGCACGGGCUUUAUUGCUCAGAGUAUUUACCAAGCGAGGGGGGGGGGCCGUGUGGGAUCAGAGGGGGCCCAUCCUCAGUCAUUCUGACAGUGCAAGCGUGGGGCUGUGUUUCAUGUGCUCUGUGUGUGUGUGUGUGUGUGUGUGUGUGUGUGUGUGUGUGUGUGUGUGUGUGUUCAGCCAAUGACGUCGCAUUUUCUGAUCACCUGAUCUCUCUCUCCGUUUUGCUAAAUAGGAAGGCUCCAGACAAUUGAUUUGUUAUUUUUUUUUUUUUUUUUAAUAAUUUCCGUCUCCCUCCAGCGACCCUGCAGACAUUUCAUUCACAAUGCAAACAAUUCACAGAAACAUUCCAUUUCUUGCUUCCUGAUUCAUAAACAGAACAGAGUUUCGUUUCAGAGACUCGAUUUACUCCACUGAGGUCAAUCCCUCAUGCUCCUGUCAGAAGAAUCGCUUCCCCAAAGCGACUUCCUCUUCAUCCUUUGAAGAAGCAGCGAUGGCACGCAAGCACAGGAGAGCGAACGCAGGCAAAGAACUCUGAGCCCCUUCAAAUGAAACCUCAGCAAUCCCCUCUCCUCUAAACAAAUUACAAACAAGACUUACAAAUCCAUUCCCCGGCCUCUCACUAGCACGCUCCUCUACUUCAAAAGCUAAAACCUCAUACUUCCUGCGCUGCAGGUCACCUUCACCCCCUUGGUUAUACACUCAGAUCUAGUGAAUUCAUCAGUACCGCUCUCUCUAAUCCGCAGGCAGCAAAAUUCAAGGCUGCAGUUCAAUGCUAAGUUUCCACAUUCUAGGGCUCUAAAACCAGAGACCACCUUUCAACUCUCUGCCCGAUUCGCAUGAAUUCUCUUAAAAAACGUUUCGAAAAGGAACUACGUUGUUUUUUUGCGACCGUGUUCCGUUACCUGUCUGGAAAAGGAACCGGGA